rnacentral:lncRNA from 1 species
CUAAAAGUUUUUAAGUACAAGGAUAUUUAUAAGUACUAGUUUUACUACUACUACUACUACUAAUAAUUCUACUACUACUGCUAAUACUACUAAUACUAGUACUACUAUUACUUCUAUUGUUACUAUUACUGCUACUACUGCUAUAACAAGUACUACUGAUAUAGCCACUAUUGCUGUUAUUGCUACUAUUGUUACUAUUUCUACUACUGCUACUACCAUUACUAUUACUGCUGCUGUUAAUACUACUGGUACUAC